rnacentral:lncRNA from 1 species
GAAGAGCUGGAGAGAGAGGCUUCGGUAAUAGGAGCAGCACCACCUCAGAGUUCCCUGAGAGGCGACAGCUGUAUUCUCUGGCCUUGUCCCUUGGGCACAGAGAAGGGAUUCCCAGAUAACUUGAGAGCACACAGAGCCUUUGCUGUCUUGUCCUGAGAGAAGAUUAAAAGAUGAGAGCCCAGAGGGAGAGAGAAAUGCUUUUCGAGUUAACGGCCCAAUGUGUGGAGAAUAGAGAGGAAGAGGAGGAAAGUGGGAACUCCCGAAUCCUGGGGGUGAUCACACCUACCAUUCUGGAGGACCGACAGACAGAAAGCAGACCUGAGCCGAAUGUGGAGGCCGUGCAGUUUCUUGGCGUCUUCAGGGGAAAUCUCUGCUUUUUAAGGCUCCUGACCUUGGAUCGCAGGCUGCUGGCCACUGCAGACUCCAGGGCAGGGCAGGUUGCCCAAAGGCGAAGCGGGGAGACCAAGAGCUUUGUGAGGUGCAGAGCUGAGGCUGGAGCAGCGCCCACCGGAAUCCACAGCAACCUUGAGGGCGGUGUUGCAGGACAUUGC